rnacentral:rRNA from 1 species
GAGUUUGAUUCUGGCUCAGGACGAACGCUGGCGGCGUGCCUAAUACAUGCAAGUCGAGCGCGGGAAGCGAGCUGAUCCCCUUCGGGGGUGACGCUCGUGGAACGAGCGGCGGACGGGUGAGUAACACGUGGGUAACCUGCCUGUAAGAUCGGAAUAACUCCGGGAAACCGGAGCUAAUGCCGGGUAAUACUUUCUUUCGCAUGAGGGAAAGUUGAAAGAUGGCUUCUUGCUAUCACUUACAGAUGGACCCGCGGCGCAUUAGCUAGUUGGUGAGGUAACGGCUCACCAAGGCGACGAUGCGUAGCCGACCUGAGAGGGUGAUCGGCCACACUGGGACUGAGACACGGCCCAGACUCCUACGGGAGGCAGCAGUAGGGAAUCUUCCGCAAUGGACGAAAGUCUGACGGAGCAACGCCGCGUGAACGAUGAAGGUCUUCGGAUCGUAAAGUUCUGUUGUUAGGGAAGAACAAGUACCGUUCGAAUAGGGCGGUACCUUGACGGUACCUAACGAGGAAGCCCCGGCUAACUACGUGCCAGCAGCCGCGGUAAUACGUAGGGGCAAGCGUUGUCCGGAAUUAUUGGGCGUAAAGCGCUCGCAGGCGGUUCCUUAAGUCUGAUGUGAAAGCCCACGGCUCAACCCGUGGAGGGUCAUUGGAAACUGGGGAACUUGAGGACAGAAGAGGAGAGUGAAUUCCACGUGUAGCGGUGAAAUGCGUAGAUAUGUGAGGACACCAGUGGCGAAGCGACUCUCUGGUCUGUCUCUGACGCUGAGGAGCGAAAGGCGUGGGGUAAGCCA